GUAGGGAAUAUUGGGCAAUGGUCGGAAGACUGACCCAGCCAUGCCGCGUGCAGGAAGACGGCCCUCUGGGUUGUAAACUGCUUUUAUCUGGGAAGAAAAAGGCCAUGCGUGGCAAAUUGCCGGUACCAGAUGAAUAAGCACCGGCUAACUCCGUGCCAGCAGCCGCGGUAAUACGGAGGGUGCGAGCGUUGUCCGGAUUUAUUGGGUUUAAAGGGUGCGUAGGCGGCUGAUUAAGUCAGCGGUGAAAGACUUCGGCUUAACCGGAGCAGUGCCGUUGAUACUGGUUGGCUUGAGUGUCGGAGGGGUACAUGGAAUUGAUGGUGUAGCGGUGAAAUGCAUAGAUACCAUCAGGAACACCGAUAGCGAAGGCAUUGUACUGGCCGACAACUGACGCUGAUGCACGAAAGUGUGGGGAUCAAACAGGAUUAGAUACCCCUGUAGUCC
rnacentral:rRNA from 1 species